GAUGAAGACGCAGCGAAAUGCGAUACGUAAUGUGAAUUGCAAAUUCAGUGAAUCAUCGAGUCUUUGAACGCACAUUGCGCCCCCUGGUAUUCCGGGGGGCAUGCCUGUCCGAGCGUCAUUGCUGCCCUCAAGCACGGCUUGUGUGUUGGGCCCCGUCCUCCGAUCCCGGGGGACGGGCCCGAAAGGCAGCGGCGGCACCGCGUCCGGUCCUCGAGCGUAUGGGGCUUUGUCACCCGCUCUGUAGGCCCGGCCGGCGCUUGCCGAUCAACCCAAAUUUUUAUCCAGGUUGACCUCGGAUCAGGUAGGGAUACCCGCUGAACUUAAGCAUAUCAAUAAGCGGAGGA
rnacentral:misc_RNA from 1 species